rnacentral:rRNA from 1 species
CUGUGAGGGGUCCUGGAGGUAUCGGAAGUGAGAAUGCUGACAUGAGUAGCGAUAAAGAGUGUGAGAAACACUCUCGCCGAAAGUCCAAGGGUUCCUGCGCAAUGCUAAUCAGCGCAGGGUAAGCCGGCCCCUAAGGCGAGGCCGAAAGGCGUAGUCGAUGGGAACCAGGUUAAUAUUCCUGGGCCAGCGGGUAGUGACGGAUUGCGGACGUUGUACACUCUUACUGGAUUGAGUGUGCAGCCAAGCCGUCCCUGGAAAUAGCUCCCGCAUGAGACCGUACCCCAAACCGACACAGGUGGACUGGUAGAGCAUACCAAGGCGCUUGAGAGAACUCUGUUGAAGGAACUCGGCAAAUUACUCCCGUAAGUUCGCGAGAAGGGAGCCUGGCAUUAGGCAACUGGUGUCCAGGGGCACAGACCAGGGGGUGGCGACUGUUUAUUAAAAACACAGGGCUCUGCGAAGUCG